CCUACGUGUGGCAGCAGUGAGGAAUAUUGGUCAAUGGGCGCGAGCCUGAACCAGCCAAGUCGCGUGAGGGAUGACGGUCCUACGGAUUGUAAACCUCUUUUGCCGGGGAGCAAGCGUGCGUUCGUGAACGCACGUCGAGAGUACCCGGAGAAAAAGCAUCGGCUAACUCCGUGCCAGCAGCCGCGGUAAUACGGAGGAUGCGGGCGUUAUCCGGAUUUAUUGGGUUUAAGGGGUGCGUAGGCGGGAUGCAAAGUCAGCGGUAAAAAUGCGGUGCUCAACGCCGUCGAGCCGUUGAAACUGGAGUUCUUGAGUGGGCGAGAAGUAUGCGGAAUGCGUGGUGUAGCGGUGAAAUGCAUAGAUAUCACGCAGAACUCCGAUUGCGAAGGCAGCAUACCGGCGCCCUACUGACGCUGAGGCACGAAAGCGUGGGGAUCGAACAGGAUUAGAUACCCUGGUAGUC
rnacentral:rRNA from 1 species